AACGCAUGUUGCGCUCUCUGGUAUUCCGGGGAGCAUGCCUGGCUGAGGGUCGGAAAAACAAAACCAUCAUCUGGCGAUGGUGGGUCGAUGGGCGUCCAUCCGACUGUGCAAGUCGGUCGCCUGAAAUAACAGGCUUCCGCCGUGUCGCGGACUCGUGCAGUAAGAUGUAAUGGAAGUGAGCUUCGGCCUUCAAUAAAAUCACACUCACGAUAUGCGACGAAAGCGAGAAGUCAUUCUUUGGAUUUUAUUCGUAAAAGCCAAAUGCGUUUACGGCGCAAAUAAUUUCAGACCGGACCUCAGAUCAAGCAAGACCACCCGCUGAACUUAA
rnacentral:misc_RNA from 1 species